CUUUGCAAUGUGCGCAAGCACGACAAGGUUAAUCCGAGUGUUUCCUGCUAAAGGAAUCUUUUGUUAGUCGUAAAACCACUAGUGAAUAAGGGGUGGGCAAGUUCUGGUGUCAGCCGCCGCGGUAAAACCAGCACCUCAAGUGGUCAGGAGGAUUAUUGGGCCUAAAGCAUCCGUAGCCUGCUCUAUAAGUUUCCGGUUAAAUCCAUUGGCUUAACUAAUGGGCUGCCGGAAAAACUGUAGAGCUAGGGGAGUGGGAGAGGUAGACGGUACUCGGUAGGAAGGGGUAAAAUCCUUUGAUCUAUUGAUGACCACCUGUGGCGAAGGCGGUCUACCAGAACACGUUCGACGGUGAGGGAUGAAAGCUGGGGGAGCAAACCGGAUUAGAUACCCCUGUAGU
rnacentral:rRNA from 2 species